rnacentral:rRNA from 1 species
UACGUAAGGUGCGAGCGUUGUCCGGAAUUAUUGGGCGUAAAGCGCUUGUAGGCGGCACGUCAAGUCGCGUGUGAAAUCCCCAGGCUUAACCUGGGAAGUGCGCGCGAAACUGACGAGCUUGAGUGCCGGAGAGGGUCGCGGAAUUCCCGGUGUAGAGGUGAAAUUCGUAGAUAUCGGGAGGAACACCAGUGGCGAAGGCGGCGACCUGGACGGACACUGACGCUGAGACGCGAAAGCGUGGGGAGCAAACAGG